UACGAAGGGGCUAGCGUUGCUCGGAAUUACUGGGCGUAAAGCGCACGUAGGCGGAUUGUUAAGUCGGGGGUGAAAUCCUGGAGCUCAACUCCAGAACUGCCUUCGAUACUGGCGAUCUCGAGUUCGGGAGAGGUGGAGUGGAACUGCGAGUGUAGAGGUGAAAUUCGUAGAUAUUCGCAAGAACACCAGUGGCGAAGGCGGCUCACUGGCCCGAGUACUGACGCUGAGGUGCGAAAGCGAGGGGAGCAAACGGGAUAGAAAACCCCAUGUCGGUACCA
rnacentral:rRNA from 1 species